AAACCAGCACCUCAAGUGGUCAGGAUGAUUAUUGGGCCUAAAGCAUCCGUAGCCUGUUCUGUAAGUUUUCGGUUAAAUCCAUUAGCUCAACUAAUGGGCUGCCGAAAAUACUGUAGAACUAGGGAGUGGGAGAGGUAGACGGUAUUCGGUAGGAAGGGGUAAAAUCCUUUGAUCUAUUGAGGACCACCUGUGGCGAAGGCGGUCUACCAGAACACGUUCGACGGUGAGGGAUGAAAGCUGGGGGAGCAAACCGGAUUAGAAACCCGGGUAGUCC
rnacentral:rRNA from 1 species